ACGCACCAUUGUACGUGCACUAGCCUUCUCCCACUCUGCUCAGAUGGUCAACUACACUGUAUUUUUAUCGGGGUUUUUUCACUUCAUAUUUGCUCCCAAAUGCUGAUACUCUGUGGGAAUGCAUAAAGGACCUACAGCAAAAAUGGCAAAGAUCCUCUAUAUGGCAAUAGCCCUGCUGUUUUUAAUAAUCUGCUGCAAAAAAGCCCAUCAAAGAUCCUCUACGUGACGAGAGCAAUGCUGUUUUAAGGACCUGCUGCAAAAACACGAGUCAAAUAUCCUUUGUAUGAGAGCGGUGUUGUGCUGUUUUUAGGAAUCUGCUGCAAAAAUACUAAUCAAAGAUCCUCUGUAUGACAGGAGCAGCUGACAGGACACUUUAUGGCUGAGGUUGCAGUCGGCUGAGGUCGGGUCAGCAAGUCUUCCUCGGGGUCGUCGAUGAGUCUUAAUCCGCUCUGAAGCCCGACUCCACUCCCUCCGGCUCACUCCUACCUGCUGCUCUCGGCCAGGUUGUCCACCCUGCACUUCAGCACCUGUGUCAAAGGAAUCUGCUGCUAAAAGUCAUCUACAGCAUGUGACAAGUGAUUUGCUUCUUCUCGGGGUCUGCUGUAAAAAUGCUAGUCAAAGAUCCUCCCUGACAGGCGUGAUAUGCUGUUUCUAAGAAUCUUCUGCGGAAAAAAUAAAGAUCCUCUAUAUGACAGGAGCAUUCUGCUACUGCAAAAACACAGGGGCAGCAGUCUCAGUAGGGAAGCCCAGAGAAAAGCGUGUCCUUACUAUAACGUGGACGUUUGAGCAGCGGAGGUCAGGGAACGCUGCUGUGUGUGCGCCUGCUAAUCCUUGCGAUUGCUCCACAGAAAUAAAUGUGUAGAUCCUGACUUCUUUCUUCUUCAAACCUGAUGUCAUUACAAGUCUGCUACAACUGCGUAUUUUUUGUGUGUGCGGUAUGCAGUGUAACAACUGGCUUCCUCUUCCUGUCUCUCCUUCUCAUGAACUCUGCCGAGCUCUUAUCAAAUGCACUUCUGCCACCUAGUGGCCGUUUUAUGCCAUUGAAAUUGCUCUCAAGCCUAAUCCAUUGGUGAGGAGUUGCAUCGUCACCUCGUUUAGCCUCUCUCACAAAAAAACGUAAAAGACUAUAAGUACGUUGUUGGGAUCAGGUGUUGGUGUUUGGUACAGAAUGAGUUAAGGACCUACUGCAAAGACCCGCGAUAUCCCAGACCCGCUCUGCUGUUUUUAGGAAGCUGCUGCUAAAACGUGUGUCGAAGAUGCUCUACUCGACAGGAAGGCGCUGCUGUGUUUAACAUGCUACUCCAAAAACGCUAGUUAAAGAUCCUCUAUGUAAGUUUCGAACUCUUGUUAAAAAGCCGCCGAAGUCUCGCGCCUGGACUAUUUGUGCAAAGAAGAAGAAAAAAGGACGACCAUCUUUAUAUUUAUUUAUUUAUUUCAACUUUGACCGAUGUGAAGAGGAUAAAUAUAAAAUCGAGAAGACUCCUCAUCUUCCUCACGCAGCUCACGUUUAACUUUUAAAGGCCAGGCCACAGAUUGCAUCUGCAGACAUCUUUAUUUACUUUUUUAAAGCAGCACUUAUCUUCUCGCCGUCAAAUGCCGUCUCUCCAACUUCACACAUCGGCAGCAAAAAAGUCCUCAAGCUGGAUAAUGACUUUUAAUAAUGAAAGGUCACAGCUACAAAAAGCAUCAUGCUUUGUUAUUGGGUUCAUUGUGUGUGUGUGUGUGUGUGUGUGUGUGUGUGUGUGUUGCAGCCAUGUGUCAACAUUUGCUUCGAGAAGGUCAGGUGCUGAUUGAGCCGUAAUUAAAGCUGCUCUUAGUGCAAGCUAUACUUUAAUAAUCAGCAUAUCUAAUCACCAUCAUCUCUGGCCUAUUGUGAUGUGAUGAGUCAAGUUUUGCGGCCUUACCCUGGAGGGGCU